rnacentral:rRNA from 1 species
UACGGGGGGUGCGAGCGUUGUCCGGAAUCACUGGGUGUAAAGGGCGCGUAGGUGGUUUGAUAAGGGUGUGGUGAAAGCCCGGGGCUCAACCCCGGGUCUGCCGUGCCGACUGUCAAACUCGAGGGCUGUAGAGGCAGACGGAAUUCCGGGUGUAGCGGUGGAAUGCGUAGAGAUCCGGAGGAAGACCGGUGGCGAAGGCGGUCUGCUGGGCAGUUUCUGACACUGAGGCGCGACAGCGUGGGGAGCAAACAGG